ensembl:misc_RNA 7SK 7SK RNA
ACCAGUCUUCCAUCAAUAGUAUAUGAGUAGCUGCACUCCCCUUCUAUAACCUCCAAACAAACUCUCAAGGCUUCACCUUUUCUAUGGAGAAGAAGAGGGAUGGGAUU